rnacentral:lncRNA from 1 species
ACCCUCCACCUGCUUUUUUUUUUUUUUUCUCCCCAGAUUGUCAGCUUGGAAAUAUGCAUUCAUGUCACAAUUGGAGUAAGGAGGCAGAAAUGAAGAAAAUUGAAAUACAAACUGACCCUUCCACUGACUUGCCCCGGAUCACACUGUCAAAAGGAAGGAAACAGCUCUGGGCCCACCCGGAUCCAGCUGCGAAGUUCCGGCUCUCUCCACGCAGCCCUGCCGUCUGGCUGAAGGUCCGUGGACAGGAGCCACACGUAUUAUCAGGCUGCCUCACAUUGCGUGCAUUUUUCGUAUGUGUACGCACAUGUCAGCCAGCGCGUUGCUGUGCCUGCUGGGUGCUGAAGAAGAUUCCAGCCUCUUGCUCUAUUGUUCUCGGAGUGCAACGCUUGGUGGAACCCUUUCUUGGCCUGCAGCCAUUAGGAUAUUUCUCAGGGAAAGCCCUUGGACCAAGAAGUCUGUUUUUUCUUUUCUUUGGAAACUAUGGUGCUCUUUGUGAAAACAAAGGAAUUUGGAUUCUGUUCAGGAAAAAUGUAACCUACAAACAAAUAGCCUUGGAAAAUCUGGGCCUCACCCUCAGUGCCUGGGUCAGGCACAGGGAGAGCCCCACCCUCUGCUGCUUUCUAGCUGGAAACCACCUCCUUUUCCUCUUCUGUAUGUUGUCUCUGGCUGCCCAAAGGGCAAUGCCUCCUCUCCUUGCCUCUCCCUUCCCUCUGUUCCGGGCCCAGGUCUUUGCAAGUGCUCCUGCCCUGUCUGGAAUGUUCCUCCCUUCCCUGUCUGCAAGUCCUCAAUUAUUCCUGAAGACUCCACUCCAACAUCUCCCCCUCAGUUCCCAGUUCCCCAGAUGGCUAGUUGCUCCUCUACUCUACUGUGUUGCUCUGGAUAAUAUAAAAUUUAAAUAUUCUGCCCCCCUGAUUUUUCUUUUUUUUUCAGAUAACAACCCCGGAUCUUAUUUUUAAAAAUCAUAGUAAAAAUAAUGGUUGCCGACUUAAACUCUUGUUACACACUGGGCAAUAUGGUACAUAAUGUUACUCACCCCAGAUGCAAUGUGCUUAGAACAGAAACAGAAAUAGAGACAUGAGUUCUCAAU